GGCUGCCUUCCGCUCCCCGGAAGCGCUGAGUCGUCGCUGCCUUAUCUGGCGGCCGCUAUUUCGGGCUCCGCUCGCAGGGCGGCGACUAUUUUUAGCGGCGUUCGGGUAAAAAUGGACCCGCCGCUCGCGCGGGUGGCCGGGGCCGUGCGCGCCCGGGGAGCCGGAGACGCGCCUGAGUCACCGCCGCGCAGAACCUUCCAGGAGCCCCGGGAGCAGUUAGGAGGGGGCAUCGCGGAAUGAGGAAACCGAGGCACGCAGACGCCCCGCCCCCGCCCCCCGGGGCUUGCUACGCAGGCUAAUGGGCUGACCGCAAGGGUCACAUGCCUGCCCCUGGAUUAAUCACAGUCACACUAGGCAGAAGACUGAGCUGGGCCAGCAUGUGGUGGGUGAAUUCGCCUGAAAAGGGUGGAACUCAGAGCUUCCAGAGAAAUAGAAGAACACUACACCGUUGAACCACACCCCAAGCCCCUCACUUGUGAUAUGAUUAAUUUGCUAGCAUGUUGCUUAAGCUGUGCCCAACCAUCCUCAAUUGACAUGAUCAUGUUCUUCAGUGU